AGGAUUAACGCUGGCGGCGUGCCUAACACAUGCAAGUCGAACGAGGUAGCAAUACCUAGUGGCAGACGGGUGAGUAACGCGUGGUCAACCUACCGUUGAGUGGGGGAUAACUAGCCGAAAGGUUAGCUAAUACCGCAUACGAGUCUCGGGGGCAUCCCUGGGCCUUAAAAGGAGCAAUCCGCUCGAUGACGGGACCGCGUCCCAUUAGCUAGAUGGUGGGGUAACGCCUACCAUGGCACCGAUGGGUAGCUGGUUUGAGAGAGCGACCAGCCACACUGGGACUGAGAAACGGCCCAGACUCCUACGGGAGGCAGCAGUGAGGAAUUUUCCGCAAUGGGCGAAAGCCUGACGGAGCGACGCCGCGUGUGGGAAGAAGGCCUUCGGGUCGUAAACCACUGUCGAAGGGGACGAUAAUGACGGUACCCUUGGAGGAAGCCCCGGCUAACUACGCGCCAGCAGCCGC
rnacentral:rRNA from 1 species